ACCAGGCAUGGUGUCUCUUGCCUGUAAUCCCAGCUACUUGAGAGGAUGAGACUGAAGAAUUGCUUGAACCCAGAAGCUCAAGACCAGCCUGGGCAACACAGUGAGACUCCAUCUCAU
rnacentral:sRNA from 1 species